UACAGAGACUGCAAGCGUUAUUCGGAUUCACUGGGCGUAAAGGGUGCGCAGGCGGCCAAGUGUGUGAGGCGUGAAAGCCCGGGGCUUAACCCCGGAAUUGCACCUCAAACUACAUGGCUAGAGCAUUGGAGAGGGUAGCGGAAUUCACGGUGUAGCAGUGAAAUGCGCAGAUAUCAGGAGGAACACCGGUGGCGAAGGCGGAUCUCUGGGCCUUACCUGACGCUCGAGGCACGAAAGCUAGGGAGCGAACAGG
rnacentral:rRNA from 1 species